rnacentral:rRNA from 1 species
GAUGAACGCUAGCGGCAGGCCUAAUACAUGCAAGUCGAACGGUGUCUUCGAACAUAGUGGCGCACGGGUGCGUAACACGUAUGCAACCUACCUUACAUUGGGGGAUAGCCUUUCGAAAGGGAGAUUAAUACCGCAUAAGACAGUAGCUGGGCAUCCAGCAGCUGUUAAAGAUUUAUCGAUGUAAGCUGGGCAUGCGUCCAAUUAGCUAGUUGGUGAGGUAACGGCUCACCAAGGCAAUGAUUGGUAGGGGAACUGAGAGGUCAAUCCCCCACACGGGCACUGAGAUACGGGCCUGACUCCUACGGGAGGCAGCAGUAGGGAAUAUUGGGCAAUGGACGCAAGUCUGACCCAGCCAUGCCGCGUGCAGGAUGAAGGCGUUAUGCGUUGUAAACUGCUUUUAUACAGGAAGAAACGACUCUUGCGAGAGGCAUUGACGGUACUGUAUGAAUAAGCACCGGCUAACUCCGUGCCAGCCGCCGCGGUAAAAC